rnacentral:lncRNA from 10 species
GCGAUCCCAAGGCGCACAAGUGCUCUCACCAGGCUGCGCGCUGGCGGGUCGGUGCACAGGGACGGGGUCGCCGCCCACGCGCGCUUGGUUCAGGGAGCCCAGGCUGUCCCUACCCGCGGCUACAAAAGCUCGCCGAGUCUUCCUGUCCACCCAAUCGCCCCACAUGUCAGCGGUUGGUCGCCUCGCGGUGCAGUGCUGGGCACGCGAGCCCCUCCCGCAGUCAUUCUCAGCACAAGCACCAGCCUGGAGCCCCGCAGCGACAGAGCUGAGAGCCCCCAAGCCGCAGAGGUCGUGCGGAGCAGAACAGAAGAAACACACGUGUUCUUGUGUGUAAACCCAGUCCAUGGAAGAGACCGUCUGCUUGUCCCUCCUGAUCUCUGGGCCCAGACAACCAGUAGUCACCAUUCCAAGUGAGGGGUGGCUGCAACUCUACAGCCCCGUUCGUCUCUCCUCACUGUCAAAGCUGCUGAGACCCCAGACUCGACACUUGAAAGAAACCCAUGUCUGUGAAGCACUUGUGGACCAUUCAAGAUUGUGGAAGAAUCACUCAAGAGAAGGAGAUAGCAAUAUUUGCAGAUAUGCAAACUGGCCCCUUGCAUGCACAUCCUGGAGCACGUCCUGGAGCCUUUAGAGGAGACGGCUGCUGCUGUUCCAGUCUCUCCUUAGGCAGACUUGAGUUUCUACCCACUCUUCCCAAGCAGCCGCCCCUCCGCACCCGAGCGAGCCAAAGACCUGGCGGGCUGAGUACUCACUGCGCGCUGGACACAUGCUGAGCCGGCACUGCAGGGACACAGGGCGAGCCGCUGGAUGCAGACCUGUGGCCGCGGCAGCUGCUGUAGCCAUUCUGACAGCUUUUGAGCAGAGAAUUUCCUCUAUGUAGCAGCAUUCUUGCAGGAUUUACCAUAUGAACAUCAAACAUUGAGUAUGCUGCCAGUUUCCUUUCAUGGCAUUGAUCUCUAAACAGUGACUACUAGGGCUUUAAAUAAUCCCUCAAGGGUCCAU